CAGGAAGAGGCUCUUCUCACACUCUUACCCCAUUUAUUAACUUUGUGGGGCUCUUGUGUAAGAGGAAAAUCCCUCCGUCCAAUAAAGGAGGAGGAGAAAGAGCCCAAUUCACCAUCGUUUUUUUUCUUCCCAUUUCUCAUCUCUUCUCUGUAAAUCGCAUUCUCAUUGGAGGGUCGCCUUAAUUUUGUUCAGUUUUUUGGGGGGUCGUUGGGGACAUUUCUCCAGCGCAUUACUGGUGUGGGAUUUCUUUAUCUUUUUCAUCUUUCUACUUCCUCUCUCUGUCCGUGGAUACGGUGUCCCGGCAAAGUCGAGACACUCCUGCACAGAGCCUGUAAGAGGAACCAGGUUGAGACACUAAUCCAGAUUCUAGCACUUCCUGGGACCGACUUCAACGUGAAAGUUGUAUGUGUGUGUACGUGUGUGUUACUCCUCAGACCACGCAGGCUGGACGCCCCUGCAGAGGCAUAUAACCAUGGCAGCAGUGCGUGUGUGGAGGCCCUGCUGCGCCACCAGCCCGUCCCUCACCUGAACGGCCAGGUGGGCGGAGUCAGGCCGCUACACAAUGCUCUGUGGACACACAGACAUCGGCAAGAUGCUCCAGCAUGCAGGAUCUGCUGCAGCAGAAAGACAGCCAUGGCCGGACAGCGCUGGAGCUGGUCUCCAAUGCCACGCUGAGGGAGGAGCUUCCACGCAGCAUCCUGGCUGGAGAAGUGGCCCUGGAGGCACUGAGGCACUGAGAUGCUCUAGGAGAGACCCAGGAGACUUUCCCUUCAGACAGGGCUGUGACCCCAACCACUGACGAAUGAGAGAGGGAGAGAGAGCGGGAUGAAUGGAGGAAUUUGGUAAAAAGGGUGCACACACACACACACACUCGGGUGCACACACAGACACGCGCACACACACACACACACACACAC